rnacentral:misc_RNA from 1 species
AUCUCUCAACACAAGAAAUUUGCUUCUUGUGCUUGGACAUUGAAGGUCUUGCUGGUGCAACAACUGUCAGCUCCUUUUAAAUGCAUUAGCAAGGCAGUGUUAGGACUAGCCUCAGUUUGAUAAGUUUUUAUCUAUGCUGUCGCUGGGUUUCCUCUUUAUGCUUUGCUUCAAAUUGUCUUUGGACUGCCUGUCAAGGCAAUAACAUCCUUAUU